rnacentral:rRNA from 1 species
AGUCGAACGAGGAUCAUCGGUGUAGCAAUACAUUGUUGGUCCUAGUGGCGCACGGGUGAGUAACACGUGGGUGACCUGCCCUGGAGCUCGGGAUACCCCCUCGAAAGGGGGGCUAAUACCGGAUACGUUCCUCGGUCGAAAGACCGGGGAGGAAAGGUGGCGCAAGCUGCCGCUCUUGGAGGGGCUCGCGGCCUAUCAGCUAGUUGGCGGGGUAACGGCCCACCAAGGCUAUGACGGGUAGCUGGUCUGAGAGGACGACCAGCCACACGGGGACUGAGACACGGCCCCGACUCCUACGGGAGGCAGCAGUGGGGAAUUUUCCGCAAUGGGCGAAAGCCUGACGGAGUGACGCCGCGUGUGGGACGAAGGCCUUCGGGUCGUAAACCACUGUCAGUGGGAAAGAUGGGUGUCGGUGUUAAUACCACCGGCACUUGACGGUACCUGCAGAGGAAGCCCCGGCCAACUCUGUGCCAGCAGCCGCGGUAAGACAGAGGGGGCAAGCGUUGCUCGGAAUUACUGGGCGUAAAGGGCGCGUAGGCGGGAUGGUAAGUCGGUCGUGAAAUCCCUCGGCUCAACCGAGGAACGUCGAUCGAUACUACCGUUCUUGAGGAUUGCAGAGGAGACUGGAAUUCCCGGUGUAGCGGUGAAAUGUGUAGAGAUCGGGAGGAACACCGGUGGCGAAGGCGGGUCUCUGGGCAAUUCCUGACGCUGAGGCGCGAAAGCGUGGGGAGCAAACGGGAUUAGAUACCCCGGUAGUCCACGCUGUAAACGAUGAGCACUAGGUGUGGGGGGGUUCAGUCCCUUCCGUGCCGCAGCUAACGCAUUAAGUGCUCCGCCUGGGGAGUACGGCCGCAAGGUUGAAACUCAAAGGAAUUGACGGGGGCCCGCACAAGCGGUGGAGCAUGUGGUUCAAUUCGAUGCAGAGCGAAGAACCUUACCUGGGCUUGACAUGCUGGAGUAGAAACCGGAAACGGCAACGACCUGUUAAGUC